rnacentral:rRNA from 1 species
AUUGAACGCUGGCGGCAUGCCUUACACAUGCAAGUCGAACGGUAACAGGUCUUCGGAUGCUGACGAGCGGCGAACGGGUGAGUAAUACAUCGGAACGUGCCUAGUAGUGGGGGAUAACUACUCGAAAGAGUGGCUAAUACCGCAUGAGGUCUACGGAUGAAAGCAGGGGAUCGCAAGACCUUGUGCUACUAGAGCGGCCGAUGGCAGAUUAGGUAGUUGGUGGGAUAAAAGCUUACCAAGCCGACGAUCUGUAGCUGGUCUGAGAGGACGAUCAGCCACACUGGGACUGAGACACGGCCCAGACUCCUACGGGAGGCAGCAGUGGGGAAUUUUGGACAAUGGGCGCAAGCCUGAUCCAGCAAUGCCGCGUGCAGGAUGAAGGCCUUCGGGUUGUAAACUGCUUUUGUACGGAACGAAAAGCCCCGGGUUAAUACCCUGGGGUCAUGACGGUACCGUAAGAAUAAGCACCGGCUAACUACGUGCCAGCAGCCGCGGUAA